rnacentral:rRNA from 1 species
UACGUAGGGUGCAAGCGUUAUCCGGAAUUAUUGGGCGUAAAGAGCUCGUAGGCGGUUUGUCACGUCUGCUGUGAAAACUGGAGGCUCAACCUCCAGCCUGCAGUGGGUACGGGGCAGACUAGAGUGCGGUAGGGGGAGAUUGGAAUUCCUGGUGUAGCGGUGGAAUGCGUAGAUAUUGGGAGGAACACCAGUGGCGAAGGCGGCUACCUGGACCGGUUCUGACGCUGAUGCGCGAAAGCGUGGGUAGCAAACAGG